rnacentral:rRNA from 1 species
GAUGAACGCUGGCGGCGUGCCUAAUACAUGCAAGUCGAGCGAAUGGAUUAAGAGCUUGCUCUUAUGAAGUUAGCGGCGGACGGGUGAGUAACACGUGGGUAACCUGCCCAUAAGACUGGGAUAACUCCGGGAAACCGGGGCUAAUACCGGAUAACAUUUUGAACCGCAUGGUUCGAAAUUGAAAGGCGGCUUCGGCUGUCACUUAUGGAUGGACCCGCGUCGCAUUAGCUAGUUGGUGAGGUAACGGCUCACCAAGGCAACGAUGCGUAGCCGGCCUGGGAGGGUGAUCGGCCACACUGGGACUGGGACACGGCCCAGACUCCUACGGGAGGCAGCAGUAGGGAAUCUUCCGCAAUGGACGAAAGUCUGACGGAGCAACGCCGCGUGAGUGAUGAAGGCUUUCGGGUCGUAAAACUCUGUUGUUAGGGAAGAACAAGUGCUAGUUGAAUAAGCUGACACCUUGACGGUACCUAACCAGAAAGCCACGGCUAACUACGUGCCAGCCGCCGCAGUAA